CCUACGGGCGGCAGCAGUGGGGAAUAUUGGACAAUGGGCGAAAGCCUGAUCCAGCCAUGCCGCGUGUGUGAAGAAGGCCUUCGGGUUGUAAAGCACUUUCAGUGGGGAAGAAAGCCUUGGGGCUAAUACCCUCGAGGAAGGACAUCACCCACAGAAGAAGCACCGGCUAACUCCGUGCCAGCAGCCGCGGUAAUACGGAGGGUGCGGGCGUUAAUCGGAAUUACUGGGCGUAAAGCGCGCGUAGGCGGUCUGAUAAGCCGGUUGUGAAAGCCCCGGGCUCAACCUGGGAACGGCAUCCGGAACUGUCAGGCUAGAGUGCAGGAGAGGAAGGUAGAAUUCCCGGUGUAGCGGUGAAAUGCGUAGAGAUCGGGAGGAAUACCAGUGGCGAAGGCGGCCUUCUGGACUGACACUGACGCUGAGGUGCGAAAGCGUGGGUAGCAAACAGGAUUAGAUACCCUGGUAGUC
rnacentral:rRNA from 1 species